rnacentral:tRNA from 1 species
UAUGGUUUAGUGGUAUAAUCAUAUGCUUGUCAGCCUUAGGUCGCGAGUUCAAUUCUCG